rnacentral:lncRNA from 1 species
CUUGUAACCCUCGGGCUUCCUCGCGUUAGGGCAAUUUGGGGCGAUAUGCCCUUCCUCCCGGCACCGGUAACAAAUGACGACCCCGCGGGGUCGUCGACUCCACCCGCUUUGCUGCUGAUAUGCCGGGACUUGCUGCAAGUUUCCCUGGUUCACUGGCUCCACAGCAUACACCGGGUAAGCUCCCUGUUGAGGCUGAGUCGUUUGGGGCUGCACAUAGAAUCCAGCACCCAUCUGCUGGCCCGGCAAGGUCUGGUACACGGGCUGAGCUGCCAUUGGUCCUACCGCUGGAACUUGCUGCUCCCUCAUUCUAGCAAAGCAGUUCUCAGUGGUGUGAUUUGUUCGCCGACAGUAACCACAGCGAGGUCGAGCUGGCUGGGGAUUCUGACACUCAUUGGGGUAGUGCCCAUAGCCCUUGCAUCGCACGCACCAAAUCUCGGCGCGGUCCACCACCUUCCGAGGUUGCGCCUCAGUUUGGCCUCUCACCAAGUUCACUUGUAGCUCUGCCAUCUGCUUGGUGAGGGUUUCCACUACAUCUUCUUUCACCUUUGCCAGUUGUGACUCGAAGUUUGGUAGGUGUUGACUCGUCAUUGGAAUUGACAGAGCUGGAGCCGCCGGUACUGCUGGUAACAGAGUCGACUGGAGCUGCAACUGGGGCUGGGGCAUAUACUGAACCCCCGCCAUCACACUUGGGUAAGCUCCAGACGCGUAGGAUGACCUCGAUCCCAGCCUCGCUUGCUCCCACGUCGCUGCAUGCUCGAUAGCUGCAUUCAAAUCUUGAGGUCUGUGAAUUUUCACGUGGAAACUGAGCUCGUAGGGCAGCCCGUUGAGAUAACAACGGACUUGAUCUUCUGCAGGUGGAGCCGGAUUCUUUCUCUGCAGUAGCGCUCUGUACCUCCGAGUAUAGUCCUGCAACGUCUCUCCUGGCAGGAGCUGAAUAGAAUUCAACUCCUCGGUGAUCCGGGUACUAAACCCGAAUGGCCUGAACUGCCCCAGAAAUGCUCUUUUCAACGCAUCCCAGGUGGCAAAUGCUGGUUGUGCUCCCGCAACAACAGCAGAAGCUUGAGCGUACCAAUCCAUCGCCGGACCGGAGAGCGUUGUGGGAAACCACCUCAGCCUCGCUGCAUCCGCCUGCUCUUGAUUUGCCAAGCUCACCACCUCGAACGCCGUGAUAUGAGAAUCUGGAUCGCUCAGGUUGGUGAACUUUUGAUAUUUUUCUCUUCCUCCUCCUGCUGCCGGCUGAGCCAUAUUGUUUGGUGGCGCAGGUGGAACCAGAUUAACCGGGUUCAAAGUCACUGUCAGGCUUGCCGAUCCGGUUGGAGAAGUUGGCAGUGUAAACUCCGCCUCUGGUGAAGUCGGGGGGGCUGGAGGUGAUGAACUCUGAAACUCCCCCCAGUUGUUGCCCUCCUCUACACUCUCUACUCUACGCUGCUCCGGGCUGUUCCACGGUGUACUGGUCUCAGCUGGUACCGAAUUCCUUCUCAAGUAUCUCUCGCUUCGAGACUCUUUUUGUUUUUGUUUAGUUUCUUCAUCAAAGCGAUAGUAUUCCGGGUGUCGGCUCAGCGGCCUCCUCUUUCCACAGGGGUGUUCCGGAUGGUCCACGGCUACCCAGUCUGUGCUACUCGAGGUAGGCUCCCGGCUGACGCACCAUUUGUAGUCCUAACUUUUUCCAACUGCUCUCUACUAACGCACACAGAAAACUCCAGGAAAACUCAACGUCAUCUUUCAUUCCAACUACUGAACUGGAUACAUCGGGAUGUUUGCCACUAAAUCAGCGGCCUCAGGUGCCAAGAGCUCCUCUAGGACUUCACGCAUCAGACGAUACCAAACUUGGCCGCAAGUGGGGCAAUGCGUGAGAAUCUGUUGAUCAGGCUGGACAUGCAUGCGCUCCACCGCUCUUCUCACCCUGUGCUUCCUCGUGAUCCGAUCUGCUGUGGGGUUGCGACGCACAGGACCAGACUGCUGACCGUCUCGCACCAUCUCCAAAACGCUGUCAAAACUUCCUCCAAGCAACCGUUUUUUCCCCGGCAAGAAUCCGGCCUUAACUCCCUCCUGCAGAAUAUUCCCUUCAUAUCCAGGAUAUCCCUGGCAUCCCUCCUAAUCUAGCCCUAACUUUAUUCUUGGGGUUAUCCCACAUCCGGAAUAUUCCGAUAACACCAAUCUUCUGGAACACACCUCGUAGUACCUGCAAACUUCUCGCAUCUCCGGCUCAUAACUCGGAAAUUUCCUGCUGCAACUCUUCGCUCACAUCUUCUGGAACAAGUUAGUGGGAUGACAAGCAUCUAGCAUUUUAAUGUUAGGACCAGCAUGCAAAAUAGAGCCAAACAGAGUCAAGCACUAUUUCUGUAUAUUGGUGGUCUAAUGCUAAGAUAUGGGUACUCCACCAGCUAGUAUAGU